GACGAACGCUGGCGGCGUGCUUAACGCAUGCAAGUCGAACGGUAAGGCCCUUCGGGGUACACGAGUGGCGAACGGGUGAGUAACACGUGGGUGAUCUGCCCUGCACUUCGGGAUAAGCCUGGGAAACUGGGUCUAAUACCGGAUAGGACCACUGCCUGCAUGGGUGGUGGUGGAAAGCUUUUGCGGUGUGGGAUGGGCCCGCGGCCUAUCAGCUUGUUGGUGGGGUGAUGGCCUACCAAGGCGACGACGGGUAGCCGGCCUGAGAGGGUGACCGGCCACACUGGGACUGGGAUACGGCCCAGACUCCUACGGGAGGCAGCAGUGGGGAAUAUUGCACAAUGGGCGCAAGCCUGAUGCAGGGACGCCGGGUGUGGGAUGACGGCCUUCGGGUUGUAAACCUCUUUCAGCACCGACGAAGCGCAAGUGACGGUAGGUGCAGAAGAAGGACCGGCCAACUACGUGCCAGCCGCCGCCGUAA
rnacentral:rRNA from 1 species